UGGGUUGUAGCUCAGUGGUGGAGCACUUACCUAGCAUGUGUGAGGCGCUGAGUUCCAUCCUCAGCACCACAU
rfam:Ictidomys tridecemlineatus contig082140, whole genome shotgun sequence.